CAGCCGCCGCGGGAAUACGUAGGUCCCGAGCGUUGUCCGGAUUUAUUGGGCGUAAAGCGAGCGCAGGCGGUUAGAUAAGUCUGAAGUUAAAGGCUGUGGCUUAACCAUAGUACGCUUUGGAAACUGUUUAACUUGAGUGCAAGAGGGGAGAGUGGAAUUCCAUGUGUAGCGGUGAAAUGCGUAGAUAUAUGGAGGAACACCGGUGGCGAAAGCGGCUCUCUGGCUUGUAACUGACGCUGAGGCUCGAAAGCGUGUGGAGCAAACAGGAUUAGAUACCCGGGUAGUCCCUGUCUCUUAUACA
rnacentral:rRNA from 1 species